GUAUACUAACAUUAAAAUUCCUGGGCAAAUAAAAGGAACAAUACAGAGAAGAUGAGCAUGGCGCCUGCGCAAGGAUGACACGAAAGUUCGUGAAGCGUUCUACUCUGAC
rnacentral:snRNA from 1 species